rnacentral:tRNA from 1 species
GCCUGGGUGGCUCAAUUGGAUAAGUGUCUGACUUCAGCUCAGGUCACGAUCUCACAGUUCAUGAGUUCAAGCCCCAUGUCAGGCU